UGCGUAGGCGGCGUUAUAAGUCAGAAGUGAAAUCCCAUCGCUUAACGAUGGAACUGCUUUUGAUACUGUAAUGCUUGAAUUAGGUUGAGGUUAGCGGAAUGUGGCAUGUAGCGGUGAAAUGCUUAGAUACGCCAUAGAACACCAAUUGCGAAGGCAGCUAGCUGGACCUAUAUUGACGCUGAGGCACGAAAGCGUGGGGAGCGAACAGGAUUAGAUACCCUGGUAGUCC
rnacentral:rRNA from 1 species